UACGUAGGGGGCAAGCGUUGUCCGGAUUUAUUGGGCGUAAAGAGCGUGUAGGCGGCCACACAGGUCUGCUGUGAAAACUCGAGGCUCAACCUCGAGCUGUCGGUGGAAACCGUGUGGCUAGAGUCCGGAAGAGGAGAGUGGAAUUCCCGGUGUAGCGGUGAAAUGCGCAGAUAUCGGGAAGAACACCCGUGGCGAAGGCGGCUCUCUGGGACGGUACUGACGCUGAGGCGCGAAAGCGUGGGGGAGCAAACAGG
rnacentral:rRNA from 1 species